UACGUAGGGACCAAGCGUUGUUCGGAUUUACUGGGCGUAAAGGGCGCGUAGGCGGCGUGGUAAGUCACUUGUGAAAUCUCUGAGCUUAACUCAGAACGGCCAAGUGAUACUGCUGUGCUCGAGUGUGGAAGGGGCAAUCGGAAUUCUUGGUGUAGCGGUGAAAUGCGUAGAUAUCAAGAGGAACACCUGAGGUGAAGACGGGUUGCUGGGCCAACACUGACGCUGAGGCGCGAAAGCCAGGGGAGCAAACGGG
rnacentral:rRNA from 1 species